GAGGUCAGGAGUACACCCGGGGUAGGGGUAAAAUCCGUUGAGCCUGGGUGGACUACCAGUGGCGAAGGCGCCUGACCAAAACGUGUCCGACGGUGAGGAACGAAAGCUGGGGGAGCGAACGGGAUUAGAUACCCCGGUAGUCCCAGCUGUAAAUAAUGCGGACUGUGGUGUUGCUUCAGAGUUAAUCUGCAGCAGUGCUGUAGCGUAGGUGUUAAGUCCGCCGCCUGGGGAGUACGGCCGCAAGGUUGAAACUUAAAGGAAUUGGCGGGGGAGCACCACAAGGGGUGGAUGCUACGGUUUAAUUGGAUACAACGCCGUGAACUUCACCAAGGGCGACGGCAGAAUGAAGGCCAGACUAAAGAUCUUGCCUAACAAGCCGAGAGGUGUUGCAUGGCCAUCGUCAGCUCGUGGCGUGAGUUGUCUGGUUAAGUCCAGCAACGAGCGAGACCCAUACCAUUAAUUGCUACUUUUACCUUUAGUAAGAGGCACCUUAAUGGGACUGCCCGCGUUAAGUGGGAGGAAGGAGUGGGCGACGGUAGGUCAGUAUGGCCCGAAUCCCUUGGGCUACACGCGGCAUACAAUGGCUGGAACAAUGGGUUGCUACUCCGAAAGGAGGCGCUAAUCCCCUAAAUCCAGUCUUAGUUCGGAUUGAGGGUUGAACUCACCCUCAUGAAGCUGGAAUCCCUAGUAAUCGCGUGUCAUCAUCGCGCGGUGAUACGUCCCCGCUCCUUGUACACACCGCCCGU
rnacentral:rRNA from 1 species